rfam:Tupaia chinensis contig106600, whole genome shotgun sequence.
AAGUUUAAGACUACACUAUAGCUGUUAAGUGCUAUGUUGUCAUUCCCCAUGCUCAAAAUAUGUUGUUUCUUAACUACAUCUGUCUGCUAUAACUCACAUAGCAGCUAGAGAUGCUUGGACUCAUACUC